UGAGCCACCUCCUUCACAGCCAGGGAGAUCUUCCUGGCAUGAGCCACCUCCUUCACAGCCAGGGAGCUCUUCCUGGCAUGAGCCACCUCCUUCACAGUCAGGGAGCUCUUCCUGGCAUGAGUCACCUCCUUCACAGCUAGGGAGCGCUUACUGGCAUCAGCAGAUGAAUCUAGGCGGCAACCAGUCGCAACCGUUCAUGCAUUCAGAGCAGUCACCGAUCCUUAGUGGUGGUGCUUCGUACUUUGAGGGCGACCGCGAGGAUGAUGACCAAGCUACAAACAUUUAUGGCUUCUCGCAGACAGUGUUUCACACUCCACCACCACCACCGACGCAGGAGACACAGACCGUGACAGACGAGGUUAACUAUGGUCGUGGUUAUCGCGAGCCUCGUCCACCGCCUCAGCGCUUAUCGCCUUCGGGUCCUCGCCCGAGGAAGACCCAGACUCGUCGUCGUCCCCCGCAGUGAUAUGCUUAUCUAUCUAUGUAUGACUCAUUAUCUAUGUUAGUUUCAGACUAUUCGCAGCUGUGUGUCAGUAUUUAUGUAUGAGACAUGCUUCAUGUAUGUGUUACUAUCGCACUUGCUUCUAUGUGAUCAGGAGACAUAUAUUGUUUUAUGUAUGCGAGACACAUAUUACUAUUAAUUCGCAUUCUUAUUUCAGUUA